rnacentral:lncRNA from 1 species
AGAUACUCAGCGAAGAGUACUUCCCUAACAUGUCACCAGGUAGCUGCACAGAUUCAUUCAUUCUCACAACACCCUGUAGGUGUUAUCAUUACAGAGAUGCAUUUAGUCAAUAGAUAUUUAGUGAGGGCUGACUGCAUGCCACGCACUGUUCUAGGAGCUGGGGAUACAGCGGUGAACCUGACAAGGCCCCCAUGCGGAGGAAACAAGAAGCAGAUCUGCAGAGAUGAAAUUCCAGGGUUGCCCGGAGAUUACAAGCCUGACUCAAACCCAGAUCUACUGGCCUCACAUCCGCUGUCUGACCUAAUGUGGAGAACAAACAUUGGCAACAGUGUUCGUCUGAGGCCUCCCCCCUGCCCCAGUCUACCUGUGUGAGGCCAGCUCUGAAGCUUGAAAUUGGCCACAGAGGGAGUAUUUACACCAUGGAAAUUGCAAAUGCUACAGUUCCAGGUAUUUUUUUUGUUUGUUUCUUUGUUUCUUAGAGAGUCUGUUCAUGAGCAUACUUCUUGAAUGCAUGG